rnacentral:snRNA from 1 species
GGAUGUGAGGACAAUCUGGCUAUGACAUUUGCACCUCACUGACCAUCAGGGUUGAUUCAGCUGCUCUGGCUGGCUAGGCGAGUGUCCUCUUCCUUCCCACUGCUUAUGCACAUUCUUCCUAGUCUGCGUGCAGGUCUAAGAGGUGACCAUCCUGGACAGAGAAAACCAAUCUUCAGACAAGGGGUACGAAUAGCUUCACUCCCCUGCUAGAACCUCCAACAAGCUCUCAGGAUUAUUGAAUUGGUUCAAGUAUUGUCCUGGCCCAUCCUUUCCAUGGUUCCUCAU